rnacentral:rRNA from 1 species
ACGCUAGCUACAGGCUUAACACAUGCAAGUCGAGGGCAGCGGGUUGAAAGCUUGCUUUCAAUGCCGGCGACCGGCGCACGGGUGCGUAACGCGUAUCAAACCUGCCUCAUACUCGGGGAUAGCCUUGCGAAAGUAAGAUUAAUACCCGAUGUUGUUGCUUUCUCGCAUGGGAGAGUAACCAAAGAUUUAUCGGUAUGAGAUGGUGAUGCGUCCGAUUAGGUAGUAGGCGGGGUAACGGCCCACCUAGCCUUCGAUCGGUAGGGGUUCUGAGAGGAAGGUCCCCCACACUGGAACUGAGACACGGUCCAGACUCCUACGGGAGGCAGCAGUGAGGAAUAUUGGUCAAUGGGCGAGAGCCUGAACCAGCCAAGUAGCGUGCAGGAUGACGGCCCUCCGGGUUGUAAACUGCUUUUAGUUGGGAAUAAAAAAAGGGACUUGUCCCUUCUUGUAUGUACCUUCAGAAAAAGGACCGGCUAAUUCCGUGCCAGCAGCCGCGGUAAUACGGAAGGUCCAGGCGUUAUCCGGAUUUAUUGGGUUUAAAGGGAGCGUAGGCGGAUUGUUAAGUCAGCGGUUAAAGGGUGUGGCUCAACCAUGCAUUGCCGUUGAAACUGGCGAUCUUGAGUGCAGACAGGGAUGCCGGAAUUCGUGGUGUAGCGGUGAAAUGCUUAGAUAUCACGAAGAACUCCGAUCGCGAAGGCAGGUGUCCGGGCUGCAACUGACGCUGAGGCUCGAAAGUGUGGGUAUCAAACAGGAUUAGAUACCCUGGUAGUCCACACAGUAAACGAUGUAUACUCGCGGUUUGCGAUAGACAGUAAGCCGCCAAGCGAAAGCAUUAAGUAUACCACCUGGGGAGUACGCCGGCUACGGUGAAACUCAAAGGAAUUGACGGGGGCCCGCACAAGCGGAGGAA